CGCCCCCAAUAUUGUUGUCCGGGUGGAAAUCGGAAGAAUGUUUUUCGGGAGGGACAGUGAAAUUCGGGAGGGUUGGCAAGUAUGAGUUUUAGCGGUGAAUGCUGUAUAUUUCCGGCGGGCCAGCUCUAAUGUUAACUUGAUAUUGCCCCAAGGACCAAAUGAAAUUACACGGCGGGCCAAAUUUGACUUAAAUCAUUUGUGUGCAAAUAUUUACAAUAAUUUUUUCAAGUAAAUCUUAUGAGUUAUUUUUUUCAGUGUAUGCACGCUCCCGCGGUAGGGGCGCGACACCUGCAUUAAUCAACUUUUUCCGUGCUUUUCGUUUCACUUCCGUGUUUUGGACACCUGUGCAACAACACGCUCAUUAUCUCCAUGGAGUCGAAGCAGCAUGUCUAACGUCGAGCCAUUGCAUUAAAUCGACAUUUCUGUCGAGUGCCAACAUUUCUCGCCUUAUUUCUGGCGAAAUUACGUACCACUGAGCAUGCGUACAAAAGCACUGGAAUACGGAAAUGUCAUUACGCAUUGACGGCCUCACGUGAGUACACUCGUUACUCUCAACGACCAUCUAUUUUCGCCGCUGUUUUGGAAAAAAAAAACAAAAAAAUGAUCAUAAUAUACAAUAAUAUACUUAUUUUAACAAUUUAAUGACUGAGACCCUUUUGGGUCCCGGAACCUUUAACACCAACAUUGAGGGAGGCCCCUAAAGUGUGUUUCGGCUGGGACCACUCUGUGGAAAAAGUUUGGACACCCUGGCCCAACGAUAUCCAAGGGUGUACAACAUCACCUUGAGCGGGAUGGACAUGGAGCUGCAGGGCCGGAUGUUGCACAGACGCCUUUCCUUGACCAGCUGACAGCCAGCGUUGUCGUUGGUCACUCGAGAGGAAACGCCCAUCCCGCAGCUGCGAGAGCACUGGGACCAGGAGGUGGUCUGGACCACGCACUCAUCUCCCACCUGUCUCCACGCUGUGGGCAUGAAAGGGAGCAAAUUGUCAGGGCACCAUAUGCAAAAAUGGGGGUUGAAGCGGCGGGGGAGUGAGGGGAAAAGGCCAGGCAAAUAACACACUGGUUUCAUUCAGGGCAACGCUCUCACAUGAUUACACAGAGGGAAGGCUGGGUGACCGACCUGUGUGUGUGUGUGUGUGUGUGUGUGUGUGUGUGUGUGUGUGUGUGUGUGUGUGUGUGUGUGUGUGUGUGUGUGCAUGUGUGUGUGUGUGUGUUGUGUGUGUGUGUGUGUGUGUGUGUGAGUGUGCGUGUGUGAGAGAGAGACCUGUGUGAGAGAGCACCUCUGGUGUGCAGGGAGCCAGUGGAAAAGAAGCCAAGGUAAAUGCUGCCGCACACACACAUGAAGAUGGAAAGGCUCACAGUGCCACACACACAUGCAAAUGGAGAGGCUGACAGUGGGGCCAUGUGUGCACAAACACAAACACAUGCUUUACUGCGCAGGAAACAGACAGCGCUCGGACGCAAACACUUGCACCCACCCGCCAGGUGCUUGUGGCCACGCGCUUUGUCCCAUCUGCGGCCCGCCUCCACCAGCUCGUUCCCCAGCGUGUCCAGAUCAGUCUUGGCUUUGUAGUGAUACAGCUUCUGGUAGGGUUUGGGGUAAGGGUAGGGCAUGAAGGGGUACGGCGGGUACGGCGGGUACGGUGGGACCAUUGUAGAGCCCUUCUGGCAGUGGAUGCUGAGACAACACUGGCCCGGCACUUUGACCAGGUGUGGGGCAGGGCAGGUAGGGGAAGCCAAGGGUACAUGGCUUGGGCAGAGGGGCACACAGCCCACUGCCCCAUCGAUGCAGGUGCACUGGUGCUUGCAGCCGGCGUGGAAGUUCUGACCAUUCUGGUAGAUUCGCCCAUUGUACUCACAGGAGCGGCCCUCUGCCUUGGCUGAGAGAAGGAAAGACCAAAAGUUGGUUAAUUAGGAGGAAAAUAUUCAAGCAAGGGUUUGAAUCUGAUUCUGAUUCCCUGAGUGACAAUUUGAUUUAGAAUCAAUUCCCAAAAUCAACACGAUUCUUCAUUCUAACCUAUUCUCACAAUGCUUAUUGUUUAUUAUAAUAUUAUAUACUAUAAUGACACUUUUUCAAAACAGGUUAGAUGAUAAAAAAAGCUUCUCCUGGUUGCUUGGAGAUGACCUAGAAAUGUAUUUCUAAAAAUUGAAUGUCUCAAAAAAAGUUGUUGUGACUGUAUUACCAAUCAGGAUGUACAAUAAUUGCGAUUCAGAUGGGAAUCAAUUUUUUUUUGUGAACGCCUAAUCUAAGUUAUGUUACGGAUUUCGGUCAAAACAUCUCAAACAUUUCCCACGCUGUGACUACACCCCACUCACACACACUAGCCAUGGUACUUUUCACAUUUGAAUCCGUAUGGUACUUUUAUGUGUUCAAAUAAAGUAAUAAUCAUAAUUGUUUUCAUAAUAUAUAUAUUUUUAACAUUAAACAAGUUUUGUUCUGUCCAGUUGUUCGGUAACACUUACUGUAUGAGUCUCAUUUGCCAGUAUUAGACUUUGCAUGUGGUUCAAGACCUUAGAUGGCAGUAGUGUAUAGACUACUGUGUUGCCUUAACAAGGAAGGAGUCUUUGCUAUUAAGUUCAAUGUGCCAGUCUUGUCUUUUUUUGAGUCCUACAAAGUGUUUAUAAUAUAAGUAUUGUGUUUAUGACACACCAGCUGUUUAAUUGUGAGGUGCAUCUUGGAUUUAGUUUUCAUUAGCAAAAAAAAGCAAACAAAGUGUAAAUUAGCAUAUUUCAAACGCCUCCAUUUUGCUUUGUUGGCAUGGAACAUUGUAACAUUACCCAGUGACGAGUCUGCGACUGAACGCAACGUCACAUGUGAAAUAUGGUAGUAAAAUAUCAAGUCAACUUUGUCCAUUGAAAUUCAUUGAAAUCAUAUUUAAUUUGUGCUUCGCUCCAACAAGAUGCUUUUUAAAAAAAGAAAAAACUCACUUUUAUAUAAGAAAUAUUGUAUAAAAACAAUAGAAUAGAUUGUACGACUAACAAGUGUAGUGGUUUUAUAAAGUACUGUAAUAAUAAUUGACCUUCAAAAGUGGACUUCUACAGUAUCUCCUUUCAGCUACCCCUCCGUCAAACACACUAUCAGCAGCGUCUCCAUAUUUUCAUAAAUAAUUGGCUUCAUAUAAGGUAUUAAUUAUUUUAACCUCCUUGGCUGACGCUAUUGAUUCAUUCUGCUUCAGGAUGGUUGGGUUCAAAGUCUCACUUUGUCUCUUCCCAUGCUUAGACAAACUGGGUUAUGUCCAUCUUUCGCUAUAAGCUAAUGCUAGCCAGUGAGACCAAAUAUUUUGGUCGGCUCUUACAGGGUUCACUGUGACAUUUUCAACGACAACUAAUGGCGAGGGUGCUUGCAACUCAAGGUUUUGCCUGUAACUGAAAGCAUAUUAUUUAGCCCAAACACUAUUAAGUUGAGGCACCACUGCAUGGUACCGAUAAGUUUUACUUGAAUCGGUAGUACCGACGGUUGGAACUUACAAAAGUCACCAUCCCGAAUACAUAUUAGUGGCGUUGGUACUGUACUUAUAUAUUUUUAGGUUUGACAAAAUAAUACAGCAAAGUAAAUCUAAAAAGAGACUUUUAUUCUGAAGGCGCCAAGACACAGCGUCUCCAUAUUUGUGAAGCGAGCUCUAUUCUUAGCCUGGAGAGGAAUUUUGACUUGUUUACAGCAUCCUUAGUAAUGGGACUCCCCCAUACAACACCCUGGACACCCCCCCUUUAUAUUGAAACAGCCCCAAAUAAACACCCAUAUAAAAAUACCACUGUGUGUUUCAUGGGGCUGUUUGUGUACACACUGAACUACUUCUAUAAAUCUCCGGACUUGGCCGCUUUUCAGCGCGCAGCUCAUGAAGGUGCUCUGUUUUUCAACGGUGGCUCUGGCUUCAAACCUCAAGCUCCUAUCAAAGAGAAACGCAAGCCAUUUGGUUUAGGGGCCAGACCCCCCCAAUCCCUCCACCCUGAAGUUACACAUUCCCCAUCCGCUCUCCGUCGUAGCCUUCCCACCACUCCCCGGUACGUACCCCUGCAGAUGCCGUGAGUACGGCCCACGUCGUUGCCGUAGUUACACUCCAGGCCUUUGUGGUGGUCGCAGGGUUGCCCCUCGUGGCAAUCCUGGUUGAGCUGUGCCGCGCACACUUUGCAGCAGCCGCAUCCAUCUGCCACGGAACUGACUCCUGGUGGACAGGACGGGGGCCCGGCUGGGCACUCGCACACCACCGGGCACUCUCCAGACGCCUGAAUGUAGGGGCAGAAUCAAACCCAGUGUUUAAAUCUGAAUACCCAGCCUUGUCCUGACCCAGCCCCACAGCAGGGUUAUUCAACAAAAGUGAAGUGAAUUAUAUUUAUGCAACGCUUUUUCUCUUGGGGCUCAAAGGGCUUUACAUUAAGAAACACAUGAUCUACACCUUUUGGGCUACCAGUGUGGGUGGCACAGGGAGCAAGGUGGUUGACGUAACCCAGCAGGCACAAGACAUUGAUACAAUGUUGAUUAUACGUAUAUGUCCUAUAAAAACCAAGGUUGCAAAAUAGUUGUAUUUGUAAAUUGAGACAAUGUUGGUGUCUAAUGUUGAUCCACGUUGUUGGUUGGAAUAUGACCAAAUUUCAAUGUCAAAUCAACGUCACAACCUGACAUUGGAUAAACGUUUAAAACUUGUAUUUGUGUUGUAGAAUAAUGGUUGGGAGAUGACUAACAUUCAAUGGUCGAAUCAAUGUCAAAACCCAACAUUGUAUAAACGUUGUCAGAAAGAAUGUUGUUUCAAGUUGAAUUUGUGUUGGAAAAUAUCCAUCCAUGCAUUUCCUACCGCUUGGCCCUCUCAAUUGAGAAAUAACGGUCAAAUAAUGAUCAAAUCAACGUCAGAACCCAACAUUAAUUAAGCUUUGUCAAAAACCAUGUUUCAACGUUGUAUUUGUGUUGUGGAAUAUUGGUUGGGAAAUUACCAAAAUUCAAUGGUCAAAUCAACGUCACAACCUGACAUUGAUUAAAUGUCGUCAAAAAGAAUGUUGUUUCAACCUUGUAUUUGUGUUGUAGAAUAUUGUUGGGAAAUGACCAAAAUUCAAUGGUCAAAUCAACGUCACAACUUUACAUUGGAUAAAUGUUGUCAAAAAACAUGUUUCAAUUUGUGUUUGUGUUGUAGAAUAUUGGUCAGGAAAUGACCAAAUGUCAAUGGUCGAAUCAACGUCAGGACCAAACAUUGAUUAAACGUAAUCAAAAAGCCUUUUGUUUCAACGUAUUUGUGUUGUAGAAUAUCCAUCCAUGCAUUUUCUACUGCUUAGCCCUUUCGGAUGGGAAAUAAGCAAAUUUUAAUGGUCAAAUCAACAUUGGAACCCGACUGAUUGAUUAAACGUUUUCAAAAAGAAUCUUUCAACGUUGAAUUUGUGUUGUAGAAUAUUGGCUGGGAAAUGACCAAAUUUCAAUGAUUAAAUCAACGUCACCACCUGACAUUGAAUGAACGUCAUCAAUAAGCAAGUUGUUUCAAUGUUGUAUUUCUGUUGUAGAAUAUUGGUUGGGAAAUGACCAAAAUUCAAUGAUUAAAUCAACGUCACUACCCGACAUUGAAUAAACGUCAUCAAUAUGCAUAUUGUUUCAAUGUUGUAUUUGUGUUGUAGAAUAUUGGUUGGAAAUGACCAAAAUUCAAUGGUCAAAUCAAUGUCACAACCUGACCUUAAAUAAACGCCAGCAAUAAUCAUGUUGUUUCAACGUUGUAUUUGUGUUGUCGAAUAUUGGUUUGGAAGUUACCAAAAAUCAAUGAUCAAGUCAACUUCAGCGCCCUACAUUGAUUAAACGUUGUCACAAAUCAUGUUGUUCUGACGUUAUGUUUGAGGACCAAAUUCAACAAGUUCUCAACGUUGUUUCAAUAUCUUGUGUCAGCUGGGAACUAGGAUGGCACAAAGCUGGAUUGGAAACGGGAACCCCCAAGUUUCUGGCUGCCUUGUUAUGUUAUGUUAUUAUUACAUAACCGGCCUUUAGAAAGUUAACAUUUCAAUGAAAAGAAGUGCCAUUGUGUUUCCGCUUGUCCAAGCUCUAUACGACAGAAACACUAGUGUUUUUAGGAAUUUGCUGCAAAAAAAUAGGCUCUCCCACGUUUUGAACUGAACUCUAGGGCCAGUCUUGUGUCAGUGGUGUCACCGGUGCCGCCUGUUGAAUAAACCCAUCUCUAAAGGGAUAUCUGGAAGCUAAAAGUGAUGUUCUCUGACCUCUCAAGCCCCUGCCUUCCUGCCGAUAUAACUUAAGUUUGUCUAACACACACCAACAGUCACUCAGUUUGCUGCACAAACCUUAUAUUAUUUUGUAUACACAUGCCAUUGCUAAGACUCACAAAUAGAGACCCACCUAACAUAUUGAUUAAAACCAACAACCACCAUACACUUUCAUAGUGACAUUUGAAAUGUUGACAUAUAAUCUUGUUUUGCCAACAUUGUGGGAAGCAGUAACACCUCAAUAUGAAGGUUAAUAUCACAUUCCUUGAUACAAAUGUACUUAAGCCAGAGAGAAGGAGAAAAGUCCCCCACUCACCAAUGUGACUGUCACCGCUUGUAUGACAGCAAGGACCAGCAGUACCCCCAUACUGUCAGCUGAUUCACAUCAGACUUAAAACAGGAGAAUAUAUCCUCUUCCGCUGUGAAAAACAAUAGAUUGUGUCCACAAAGAUUACAUCCAAUCACGAAAUGUCCUCCAUCACUUCUUAUGUUUCAUCGAUCAAAAGGCAAGGCUUGUUUUAUAUGAGCGUGGGGCUUUUUAUAGUAGCCACGCCCACUGACCCUCCCCUGACCAAUCGAGACACAUACACAACCCAACAAGGCGUGCGGGGGCGUGGCCCAGAGAUGAGCCUUGGAGGGGGGCGUGGCCGUGCAUGAAUGCAGUCAUUCAUUAAAUUCAGAAUGACUACAUUCCAAAGGUGUUUGUUUAUUUGUGAUCAAGUAAUAAUAAUAUUUUGACUGCUUUAAUGUUCUUUUCACACGCAUGCCUCCUGUGUCAUUUGCUU